AUUGAACGCUGGCGGCAUGCCUUACACAUGCAAGUCGAACGGCAGCGGGGGAGAAGCUUGCUUUUCCUGCCGGCGAGUGGCGAACGGGUGCGUAAUACAUCGGAACGUACCCUGUUGUGGGGGAUAACUAGUCGAAAGAUUAGCUAAUACCGCAUACGACCUGAGGGUGAAAGGGGGGGACCGCAAGGCCGCACGCAGCAGGAGCGGCCGCGUGCUGAUUAGCUAGUUGGUGGGGUAAAGGCCCACCAAGGCGACGAUCAGUGGCUGGUCUGGGAGGACGAUCAGCCACACUGGGACUGAGACACGGCCCAGACUCCUACGGGAGGCAGCAGUGGGGAAUUUUGGACAAUGGGGGCAACCCUGAUCCAGCAAUGCCGCGUGUGUGAAGAAGGCCUUCGGGUUGUAAAGCACUUUUGUCCGGAAAGAAAUCGCGCUGGUUAAUACCUGGCGUGGAUGACGGUACCGGAAGAAUAAGCACCGGCUAACUACGUGCCAGCCGCCGCAGUAA
rnacentral:rRNA from 1 species